rnacentral:misc_RNA from 1 species
UAAUGAUGUCCACUUGAACAUAUAGAGCUCCGAAAAUUCUCCAUCGUCACCUGCUUUGGUGGUGACGGUAAAUCUUGUUUCCACACCAGCUAAAACCUUGAACAAUCCUUGAAAGAGAGCAAAAAAGUGCGCAGAAGCACCUCCAAUAACCCAAAACUGCUCAUUCCUCCACCAAUCAUCCAUGCCGAUGCCGCUCCAUCUCAUUUCCAGGAUGCUGGUUGAGAAAAUGCAAAUGAAGAGAGACAGAAACCACAAACUGGCGACAUUGCUAAGCUCUGGAGUGAUGAACUUUCCGGUCAGCAAGCAAAUAGCAGGCAAAGUGCAGUAGGCCAGUAGCGGAAUUGAAGUCCAGGGAUACACAGUUGCAUUUAUAUAGGAUAAUCGCUCCAACCAUUUUAGCCCGCCUCCAUAUCCGUACCAGAUAGGGCAAUGUUUACUUAAGAAAAUUUCCACGGACCCAAGAGCCCACCGAAGGACCUGAUGAAGACGGUCAGAGAGAUUGAGUGGCGCUGAACCUUUGAAUGCAGGUCUAUCAGGAAUGCAAUAGAUCGACCGCCAUCCAUGGCAAUGCAUUUUGAAUCCCGUCAAUAUAUCUUCUGUGACUGAACCAUAGAUCCAUCCAACCUCUUUUCCCCAAUCAGUCUUGUCUUCGUAGCCGCAACUAAUUACAUGGAUAGCUUCCUUCAAGAGUGAUGCGGGAGUAGUGGUUUGCAG